CUCUGUAAAGAUGCCGAGUACCAACGGCUAGCCAGUAAGACCCCUUGCACCUAUAUUAUAGCUUCGUAUUGUCAACAUUAAUGAAUGUGUCGGGUAGGUGGGAGGUGGUGACACACAAUGACCAAUCCUUAAAGACCUCGCUUUCGUCUAAGAAUGCCCAACAGCCGCAUCGAUCAUUUGGGAGGGGGGGGGUUGUGAGGUGGGUAGUUUAUCUGGGGUGAAUGCCUCCUAAAGAGUAAUGGAGGUGUUCGAAGGGAGGCUCAACUGUUGAUUUUGCUCGUGAGUGUAAUGGUAUAAGCCUGACUGACUGUGAGAACGACUGGUCGAACAGAGAAGGAAGUCAGACCUGGAGAUCCGGGAGUCCCGUGUGAAAGAGCUCUCGCUCAACGGAUCAACGGUAUGUCGGGGAUAACAGACUAAUGAGCAUGAUUGAUUGGAUUCGAUAAGUAGAGGGCCCACCCAUGUCACCACCAGUACACUGAACCAGCUGUUGAUCGCUAACUGUCCUGG
rnacentral:ncRNA from 1 species